AGAGUUGACGAUCUCGAGAAUGAAACUGUUGUUUUUCCUGAUUCUGAUAUUGGUUGCUUACUCUCAAUGUUGUAAACCAGACGAAAUACCUAGAUGUAUUAUUGAAAAUAAUUGCGCCGAUUGAUUAACAAAUGCAACAUGACAAUAUGUAUACAUUCGUGAUAAUGAAUUCAAGGAGAAUAACUCAGAAAGCUAAUAAAUUAUCUCUUUCUUUC